rnacentral:lncRNA from 1 species
CCUGGGUCUCCUUGGCUUCCGGGCCCCUGCAAGAUCAUCAUUAUUCAUGAAUGGGGGUGUGUGGCUUCCAUGUUUUAACAUCUGCUUUCUGGUUGCUGGUUGUUAGUCUACCAACCACUCAACUUCAUGCAUAACUUAUAAUCAGGAAGCAUGGCCUUAACGGUUUUUCUUCGCUUCCUUGACAGCCUGGCUGCAACAAUUCAUUCAUUAGUCGCAUUCCAUG